AGAACGAACGCUGGCGGCAUGCCUAAUACAUGCAAGUCGAACGAACUCUUCGGAGUUAGUGGCGCACGGGUGCGUAACGCGUGGGAAUCUGCCCUUGGGUUCGGAAUAACAGUUGGAAACGACUGCUAAUACCGGAUGAUGACGAAAGUCCAAAGAUUUAUCGCCCAGGGAUGAGCCCGCGUAGGAUUAGCUAGUUGGUGAGGUAAAGGCUCACCAAGGCGACGAUCCUUAGCUGGUCUGAGAGGAUGAUCAGCCACACUGGGACUGAGACACGGCCCAGACUCCUACGGGAGGCAGCAGUAGGGAAUAUUGGACAAUGGGCGAAAGCCUGAUCCAGCAAUGCCGCGUGAGUGAUGAAGGCCUUAGGGUUGUAAAGCUCUUUUACCCGAGAUGAUAAUGACAGUAUCGGAGAAUAAGCCCCGGACUAACUCCGCGCUAGCAGCCGC
rnacentral:rRNA from 1 species